rnacentral:rRNA from 1 species
GAUGAACGCUAGCUACAGGCUUAACACAUGCAAGUCGAGGGGCAGCAUGACGAUAGCUUGCUAUUGUUGAUGGCGACCGGCGCACGGGUGAGUAACGCGUAUCCAACCUUCCCGUUGCUAGGGGAUAACCUUGCGAAAGUAAGACUAAUACCCUAUGAAGUUCUUCGCAGGCAUCUAAAGAGAACGAAAGAUUUAUCGGCAACGGAUGGGGAUGCGUCUGAUUAGGUUGUUGGUGGGGUAACGGCCCACCAAGGCAACGAUCAGUAGGGGUUCUGAGAGGAAGGUCCCCCACAUUGGAACUGAGACACGGUCCAAACUCCUACGGGAGGCAGCAGUGAGGAAUAUUGGUCAAUGGACGAGAGCCUGAACCAGCCAAGUAGCGUGCAGGAUGACGGCCCGUAUGGGUUGUAAACUGCUUUUAUGCGGGGAUAAAGUGUGGGACGUGUCCCAUAUUGCAGGUACUGCAUGAAUAAGGACC